rnacentral:rRNA from 1 species
UACAGAGGGUGCGAGCGUUAAUCGGAAUUACUGGGCGUAACGCGCGCGUAGGCGGCUUUGUAAGUCGGUUGUGAAAUCCCCGGGCUUAACCUGGGAACUGCAUCCGAGACUGCAUGGCUAGAGUAUGGGAGAGGGAAGUGGAAUUUCAGGUGUAGCGGUGAAAUGCGUAGAUAUCUGAAGGAACAUCAGUGGCGAAAGCGACUUCCUGGACCAAUACUGACGCUCAUGUGCGAAAGCGUGGGGAGCAGACAGG